AUGUGUCUUCCAACAUUCCCACAGCUCUGCGGGUCAGGUGGGUGUAGGGGGAUAGGCUCUCCAGCAAGGAAGCUAGAGAAAGAGAAGAGUUGAGAGAGAUUUAACGACGGGAAUGUGGAGGAAGAGAAAGUAACCUGCAAUUCACAGCUUCGAAGGAUAGUUGUAUAGGAACUAGAUGGAGUGUCAAGAGGCUGCAGAUGGAGGACUAGCAUGGAUGUAAGGCAGAGCCCUUCUACUUAUUCAUUUCCAGACAUUCUUCCUUCAGAGUACAAUUCCAUUACAGGUGCACUAGCUGGAGAUACACCAUUUGUUUACCUGUCUCUUGUUCUUUAAGCCAUCUGUGGUUUGUGGAAAUUGAUAAUCCAGCUAAAUCCAGGGUAUAGGAUUUAUUAUUUAUUAUUAAUUAUCAUUAUUAAUUGUUACAUUGGUUUCCAGAACAAGUAUUUCUUAAUCUCUUUCUUCUUUCUUAACAUGGAUAGCCCACAUGGAAUUUCUUUUUCUAACCAUCUGUGGCCCUCAUUUGGAUAUCAGGUUGGGGUUUUGUUUUUGUUUUUGUUUUUGUUUUUGUUUUUGUUUUUAAUUUUUUGGGGUUUUUUUUUUCAGGGAAAUGAAGAUUACUAAAGUUUGUUCCCCAGGGAUUUUCAUCAAUUGAAGAUUCCUUUUUACCUCUCUGAUUGGAAAUUAUAGAUGGCGUUUUAAGUGUAAAGUAAAAUACUGUCCUUAAGCCUCCUCUUACAAAUGCACUAUUUGUCUUCCUGUGAUUGUUUAAUCUUGUUUUGACAGCAGAUAGAACCCUAGAAUUUGUUGGGCUUUUAUUUCAAAUUAGCUACUGUCCUAAAUAACUAAUUUCUACUACUAUCCAUCAGGCUAAAAUGGGCUUGUUUGCUUGACUGAGGAUGUUAAACUAUCUGUUGGGAGACACAAAAGGACUUGCCUUGGCUUUGAAAGGAGACGGGUCGGAAGCUGGAAAGUGAUAUUCCCCCCUCCCAGUCUCUUCAUAUCUCUAUGGUUCCAUUUAUCUUUUUUUAUAAAGACUCUAUCUGAAGAAAAAUUAAAAGUUAAAAAAAAAACCUUCUUGCUAAACAGACAGUUUAAUUGGUUCCACUAUUUUUGGAAACUGCGAGAUAAAUGCUACAUGUGAAGUUAAUAAACCAUAAUUGGAAUUUGCUUAAGAGUCUUCUUGCAUUCCACGUGGGCCCAUUCACCGCAGGAAGCAAUAGGACCUAGCUGGGUUGCAGUAAUAUAUAAGCCCUUUUCAAAGAACAGUGUGACUUUCUGCAUGACCUUGAGGAAUGUAAUAACUGUUCUAGGUCCCCACUGGACAAUAAACAAAUUGGGGUGGGAAUUGAAGACUAAAAACAAAUACUGUAACUUAAGAAAAAAAAUAAAGAGAAAGUAGUCCAGCAACUGCUAUUUCACUUCUCAGAUGAUAAAGGCUGUUGUAUAUCUGCCAUUUUCACACAUUUUUAUAGUUCUUUUUUCCUCCCAGAAUGACUUUAAUCUUUAUUUGAUUAAUUUUCAGCUAUGUAAGUACAUGGGUUUACCUCUGCACAUGAGCUACCACCUGGGUUUUCCAUAUUAUCAAGUUAUCAGAGACCACCCAUCCAUGGUAUUUACUGGACAGAGUUGCUAUUAUCGUUGCUGUUAUUUCUGUUAAGGAUACAAAGUUGCAUAUAGAGAGAUGUAAAUAAUUUAAUCUCAAACAUGAUAUUCUCAUAGAACUUGGUCCUUUAAUACAUGUUAUCAAUUUGAAAUAUGUAUCAACUUCUUUAAAGAGCUAAGAACAAGAUAAAUCUCAUUUUCUACUUCAUUAUGAUUUAAAAUUUACAAUUAUCUUUUUCUUACAUGAAUGCCCUGAUGAGCACCUAUGCCUAUGCACACAUACACCUAUGUGCUUGCAUACAAGUCAGGGGACUAAUUGCAGGCAUCAGGCUUCAACUUCUUCCAUGUUGGACUUGGGGAUCAAACUCAAUUGGUUAGGCUUGGUGACAAGAACCUUAGCACCUCACCCAUUUGCUGGCCCUCAACCUUAAACUUUUAAGAAACAUUUAAAAAUGUCCCUGGAGUGUAUUUUUAAAGGGAACUUUAUAGGGAUAAGUCUUUAAAGAGAAUGGGUACCCAUUUCCAAUCCGAUUUUAUAGGCAGUUAGCAGAGCUUACAUAUUAUUGACUAGAUGGG
rnacentral:lncRNA from 1 species